rnacentral:rRNA from 1 species
GAUGAACGCUGGCGGCGUGCUUAACACAUGCAAGUCGAGCGAGAAGUUUUGAAAAGCUUCUUCGGAUGAAAUUUAAAAUGGAAAGCGGCGGACGGGAGAGUAACGCGUAGGCAACCUGCCCCAUACAAAGGGAUAGCAUUUGGAAACGAAUAUUAAUACCUUAUGAGACUUAACUAGUGCAUGCUAGGUAUGUCAAAGAUUUAUCGGUAUGUGAUGGGCCUGCGUCUGAUUAGCUAGUUGGUGAGGUAACGGCUCACCAAGGCGACGAUCAGUAGCCGACCUACGGAGGUGAGCGGCCACAUUCGAACUGAGACACGGUCCAAACUCCUACGAGAAGCAGCAGUGGGGAAUAUUAGACAAGGGGGGUGACUCAGGAGCGGCAUCGCCGCGUAAACGAUGUAGGCCUUUGAGGCGUAAAAUUCUGUUAUAGGUGAUGUAAUCUGACAGUACCCAAAGAGAAAGCCCCGGCUAACUCCGUG